UACGUAGGGUGCGAGCGUUGUCCGGAAUUACUGGGCGUAAAGAGCUCGUAGGUGGUUUGUCGCGUUGUUCGUGAAAAACUCACAGCUCAACUGUGGGCGUGCGGGCGAUACGGGCAGACUUGAGUACUGCAGGGGGAGACUGGAAUUCCUGGUGUAGCGGUGGAAGUGCGCAGAUAUCAGGAGGAACACCGGUGGCGAAGGCGGGGUCUCUGGGCCGAUACUGACGCUGGAGGUGCGAAAGCGUGGGGAGCAAACAGG
rnacentral:rRNA from 1 species